rnacentral:misc_RNA from 1 species
GUGUGAAACUCGCCUCAAGAUGAGAUUUCCCAUUCCUWUAUGGAAGUAAGACCCCUGAGAGAUGAUCAGGUAGRUAGGCUAGAAGUGGAAGUCCAGUGAUGGAUGGAGCGGACUAGUACUAAUCGGUCGAGGACUUAACCAAGUAAGAAAACGGUGAUUUCCGGUAGGAAAACGAUAUUAUCUAGUUUUGAGAGCAUCAGUUCUCAAUAGUGUGGUGGCGAUAGCCUGAAGGAUACACCUGUUCCCAUGCCGAACACAGAAGUUAAGCU